GACGAACGCUGGCGGCGUGCCUAACACAUGCAAGUCGAACGGAAAGGCCCUGCUUUUGUGGGGUGCUCGAGUGGCGAACGGGUGAGUAACACGUGAGUAACCUGCCCUUGAAUUUGGGAUAACUUCAGGAAACUGGGGCUCAUACCGGAUAGGAGCUCCUGCUGCAUGGGGGGGGUUGGAAAGUUUCGGCGGUUGGGGCUGGACUCGCGGCUUAUCAGCUUGUUAGUGGGGUAGUGGCUUACCAAGGCUUUGACGGGUAGCCGGCCUGAGAGGGUGACCGGCCACAUUGGGACUGAGAGACGGCCCAGACGCCUACGGGAGGCAGCGGUGGGGAAUAUGGCACAAUGGGCGGAAGCCUGAGGCAGCAACGCCGCGUGCGGGAUGACGUCCUUCUGGGUGUAAACCGCUUUCGCCUGUGACGAGGCGUGAGUGACGGUAAUGGGUAAAGAAGCACCGGCUAACUACGUG
rnacentral:rRNA from 1 species